rnacentral:misc_RNA from 1 species
UUUUUUUCACCGAACAAAUCCAUUUAAUUAUAGGAAGUUCAUAAAAAAAUCUCAUCUAUCAAAACAUAUGAUUCAAGGAUUAUACCAAUGUAAAAGACGAUUAAAUGCCCAGUUAAAAGCUCUCAAUCAGGAAGAAAGGGAUACUUAUGGUGAUAUAACCAAAUCAACUCUUUAAUCGAACAGACUGAAGCCCAUGUCCUCAUCUGACUCCUCUUUCUCCUCCAUCUUUUCUUCCUUCUUUGCCUCAGCUGCAGCAGGAGCAGCGGCAGCACCACCACCGCUACCAGGUGCAGCAGCGGCAACAGCAACACCACAGCCGGAAGGCACUGAUGCCAACUGCUCCCGACCAGCAGCAAUAAGUUCUGUUAUAUCCUUACCAUCAACUUCAGAAAGAAGAAAUUUAAUCCUAUCAUCAUCAGUAUAAGCUCCAACAGAAAUGAGGAUAUCUUUGAUAUGCUCAGCGGAGGGGGAGGUGUUGCCUCCCAACACGGCCAGUAAAUAUGCAGCCACCACCUUCAUCUCUGCAGUGGAAGCUCUGGAUCUGCAGCGGUGGGAGGAGAGUUAAACAUUAAAUUGUAGCAGUAGUAGUAGUAGUGGAACUGGAGAAAAUGAAAAGGCAGUGAAUUUAUGGGGCUAGGUUUUUUUUGGGACCGGCGAAAUG